rnacentral:rRNA from 1 species
CCUACGGGGGGCAGCAGUGAGGAAUAUUGGUCAAUGGGCGGAAGCCUGAACCAGCCAAGUCGCGUGAGGGAUUAAGGCCCUGCGGGUCGUAAACCUCUUUUGCCAGGGAGCAGUGGUCCGGACGCGGCCGGACCGGGGGAGUACCCGGAGAAAAAGCAUCGGCUAACUCCGUGCCAGCAACCGCGGUAAUACGCAGGAUGCGAGCGCUAUCCGGAUUUAUUGGGUUUAAAGGGUGCGCAGGCGGAGGCACAAGUCAGGGGGAAAAUCGCGGGGCUCCACCCCGCUCCGCCGUUGAAACUGUGUCCCUUGAGUGCGCGAAGGGUAGGCGGAAUGCGUGGUGGAGCGGUGAAAUGCAUAGAUAUCACGCAGAACUCCGAUCGCGAAGGCAGCCUACCGGCGCGCAACUGACGCUCAUGCACGAAAGCGUGGGUAUCGAACAGGAUUAGAUACCCCAGUAGUC